UACGUAGGCAGCAAGCGUUGUUCGGAAUUACUGGGCGUAAAGAGUGUGUAGGCGGUGCUCUAAGUCUGUUGUGAAAUCUCCCGGCUUAACCGGGAGGGUGCGGCGGAAACUGGAGUGCUUGAGGGUGGGAGAGGUAAGCGGAAUUCCUGGUGUAGCGGUGAAAUGCGUAGAUAUCAGGAGGAACACCUGUGGUGUAGACAGCUUACUGGACCACUUCUGACGCUGAGACACGAAAGCGUGGGGAGCAAACAGG
rnacentral:rRNA from 1 species